rnacentral:sRNA from 1 species
AAAUUUCAAUUUUUUUUUGUUUUUUCUAUGACUUAGAUUAUAUGAAGACUCAAAUGAUAUUCGCAAAAAACAAGUCAAAUACGUCUUGAACCCUCCCCCAAACUUAAAUUACAUUGUCUCUUGUGUAAUUAAAAUUUGUGAAAGAAUUCAAGAUAAACACAGAAACAAAAACAAAAGCGGUAUUUACAAAUGGUUUUGGUGUGUUACCUCAGUAAAAUGUCCUGGAGAUGUAGUCAUCCAUAUCUGCUUGAGUGUACUCAGCAGGCACGACCGGUUCUUGAUGUGGCUCUGCCAUCUCCUCGUCAUUGUGCUCGAUCGCAACCCAGGAGGUUGUGGAGCAUGACGCUCAUGUGUUCUCCGGGGUUGCGAUAGAGUGAUUUGGGCAAUUCCACAAGGAGACCACUCGAUCACACUACUUCCAGGUUGCGAUCAAGUAGUUUGACAUUGUAGUUGAGAAAGAUGUUGUCCCAAAACCACUAGAUCGCACUCCCGAGCUUUUACUCUCAUCUUGCGAUCGAGUGAUUCAUCAAAAAA